rnacentral:rRNA from 1 species
AUUGAACGCUGGCGGAAUGCUUUACGCAUGCAAGUCGAACGGCAGCACGGGGGCAACCCUGGUGGCGAGUGGCGAACGGGUGAGUAAUACAUCGGAACGUGCCCGGUCGUGGGGGAUAACGUAGCGAAAGUUACGCUAAUACCGCAUACGAUCUGAGGAUGAAAGCGGGGGACCUUCGGGCCUCGCGCGAUCGGAGCGGCCGAUGUCAGAUUAGGUAGUUGGUGGGGUAAAGGCCUACCAAGCCGACGAUCUGUAGCUGGCCUGAGAGGACGACCAGCCACACUGGGACUGAGACACGGCCCAGACUCCUACGGGAGGCAGCAGUGGGGAAUUUUGGACAAUGGGCGCAAGCCUGAUCCAGCCAUUCCGCGUGCAGGACGAAGGCCUUCGGGUUGUAAACUGCUUUUGUAUGGAACGAAAAGGCUCUGGCUAAUACCUGGGGCUCAUGACGGUACCGUAAGAAUAAGCACCGGCUAACUACGUG